UACGAAGGAUGCAAGCGUUAUCCGGAUUUAUUGGGCUUAAAGGGUGCGUAGGCGGACUUAUAAGUCAGUGGUGAAAUCUCGAUGCUUAACAUCGAACGUGCCAUUGAUACUGUAGGUCUUGAGUACAGAUGCCGUUGGCGGAAUGUGUCAUGUAGCGGUGAAAUGCAUAGAUAUGACACAGAACACCGAUUGCGAAGGCAGCUGACGAAACUGUAACUGACGCUGAGGCACGAAAGCGUGGGGAGUCAAACAGGAUUAAGACGUAC
rnacentral:rRNA from 1 species